AUGCAGUCGAACGGUGAAGCUCCAGCUUGCUGGAGUGGAUCAGUGGCGAACGGGUGAGUAACACGUGAGCAACCUGCCCCUGACUCUGGAAUAAGCGCUGGAAACGGCGUCUAAUACUGGAUACGAGAAGGGCCCGCAUGGGCACCUUCUGGAAAGUUUUUCGGUUGGGGAUGGGCUCGCGGCCUAUCAGCUUGUUGGUGAGGUAAUGGCUCACCAAGGCGACGACGGGUAGCCGGCCUGAGAGGGCGACCGGCCACACUGGGACUGAGACACGGCCCAGACUCCUACGGGAGGCAGCAGUGGGGAAUAUUGCACAAUGGGCGAAAGCCUGAUGCAGCGACGCCGCGUGAGGGAUGACGGCCUUCGGGUUGUAAACCUCUUUCAGCAGGGAAGAAGCGAAAGUGACGGUACCUGCAGAAGAAGCACCGGCUAACUACGUGCCAGCAGCCGCGGUAAUACGUAGGGUGCGAGCGUUGUCCGGAAUUAUUGGGCGUAAAGAGCUUGUAGGCGGUUUGUCGCGUCUGCUGUGAAAAUCCGGGGCUCAACCCCGGACUUGCAGUGGGUACGGGCAGACUAGAGUGUGGUAGGGGAGACUGGAAUUCCUGGUGUAGCGGUGAAAUGCGCAGAUAUCAGGAGGAACACCGAUGGCGAAGGCAGGUCUCUGGGCCACUACUGACGCUGAGAAGCGAAAGCAUGGGGAGCAAACAGGAUUAGAUACCCUGGUAGUCCAUGCCGUAAACGUUGGGCGCUAGGUGUGGGACUCAUUCCACGAGUUCCGUGCCGCAGCUAACGCAUUAAGCGCCCCGCCUGGGGAGUACGGCCGCAAG
rnacentral:rRNA from 1 species